GAUGAACGCUGGCGGCGUGCCUAAUACAUGCCAGUCGAGCGAACGGACGAGAAGCUUGCUUCUCUGAUGUUAGCGGCGGACGGGUGAGUAACACGUGGAUAACCUACCUAUAAGACUGGGAUAACUUCGGGAAACCGGAGCUAAUACCGGAUAAUAUUUUGAACCGCAUGGUUCAAAAGUAAAAGACGGUCUUGCUGUCACUUAUAGAUGGAUCCGCGCUGCAUUAGCUAGUUGGUAAGGUAACGGCUUACCAAGGCAACGAUGCAUAGCCGACCUGAGAGGGUGAUCGGCCACACUGGAACUGAGGCACGGUCCAGACUCCUACGGGAGGCAGCAGUAGGGAAUCUUCCGCAAUGGGCGAAAGCCUGACGGAGCAACGCCGCGUGAGUGAUGAAGGUCUUCGGAUCGUAAAACUCUGUUAUUAGGGAAGAACAUAUGUGUAAGUAACUGUGCACAUCUUGACGGUACCUAAUCAGAAAGCCACGGCUAACUACGUG
rnacentral:rRNA from 1 species